rnacentral:rRNA from 1 species
UUUAGAUGGCGACCGGCGCACGGGUGAGUAACACGUAUCCAACCUGCCGAUGACUCGGGGAUAGCCUUUCGAAAGAAAGAUUAAUACCCGAUGGCAUAGUUCUUCCGCAUGGUGGAACUAUUAAAGAAUUUCGGUCAUCGAUGGGGAUGCGUUCCAUUAGGUUGUUGGCGGGGUAACGGCCCACCAAGCCUUCGAUGGAUAGGGGUUCUGAGAGGAAGGUCCCCCACAUUGGGACUGAGACACGGCCCAAACUCCUACGGGAGGCAGCAUG